UACAGAGGUCCCAAGCGUUGUUCGGAAUUACUGGGCGUAAAGGGCGCGUAGGCGGCCAUCUAAGUCAGACGUGAAAUCCCUCGGCUCAACCGAGGAACUGCGUCUGAUACUGGAAGGCUUGAAUCCGGGAGAGGGAUGUGGAAUUCCAGGUGUAGCGGUGAAAUGCGUAGAUAUCUGGAGGAACACCGGUGGCGAAGGCGGCAUCCUGGACCGGUAUUGACGCUGAGGCGCGAAAGCUAGGGGAGCAAACGGG
rnacentral:rRNA from 1 species